rnacentral:snRNA from 13 species
AAAUAGAUCAGGAAGGUGGUUUUCCCAGGGCGAGGCUUAUCCAUUGCACUCCGAUGUACUGACCCCUGUGAUUUCCCCAAAUGUGGAAAACUCGACUGCAUCAUUUGUGGUAGUGGGGGACUGCGUUUGUGCUCUCUAU